GGCUGGGUGGCCGAGCGGUCUAAGGCGGUAGAGUCAAGAAGAAAACUUCCUCUUCUUCCUAGUAUCUAUAUCAAGUACAAGGUGAUUUCUACUCUCGAAAGAGGCGCGCGUUCGAAUCGCGCCCCAGUCA